UAAGGCAGCGUUCCGGGGGGGAAGGAGGUAGCCGACGUCAAGGGAUUUCCAUCUCUCGCUCGAUGCCCACGUACUUCAGGGCAUCAGCCUGGCUGUAUCUGGAAGGGCAGGAAAGAGGAGUGACCGCGAGCCCCCAAGCAUACGGCAGAGGUGGCAGCCACAUGCAUGUUGUUAGAAGGUGCAGGGGUCACACACGGCUCUUAUGAGCAGGAUUAAAAAAAAAGAGCAGUCACUCUGAAUACCUUUGCUUCUAAGCACACUGCCAUUUGCAUCGCAACCCUCCAGUGACGUGGACCAGCCCACGUGCUUUGCCUACCACCCUCAUCUGCACAAGCAGCUCCUUUAGUCCCACAGUCCUGUGAGAACACCCAGGGACAUUUUGGAGAUGCUUCAAGUGCUCCAUGCCUUCCCAGGUGACAGGGACUAACUAGAGGAAGUAAGUCAAAGUGACACGAUACCCAAGUCCUCAGGGACGCAACAGGAGAGCACCAGUGGAGGGGCUCCCCAAUGCCACCUUGGAACUAAAUGCCCUUGAACUCAA